GUUGUUUUAAUUUUUAUAACAUUGAAAGAAAUCAUGUAGGGACUAAAUAAAGUUUAGAAUUACAGUUUUAAAAAAUGAGUCACAUACAUAUUGACUAGGAAUUAAAGCACAGCCAUAUCAAUAAUAAAGAACAAUGCUAUCCAGAAUAAAAAUCAAGUAGCAACUGAUAGGUUUCUCUUGUAGUGGUUUUUCCCUUUGAGUUAUUAACGUCUCAUGAAAUUGUGUCUUAUUCAUUAUAAAUGCUUACUCUGUUUAGGGCUAUAUAGUAUAAAUAACAUGUGCUGGUGUUUAAUAAAGUGUAUAACUUUCUGAC
rnacentral:lncRNA from 1 species